rnacentral:rRNA from 1 species
CGCUGGCGGCGUGCCUAAUACAUGCAAGUCGAACGGUCUUUCUAUGGAAGCUUGCUUCCACUGAGAAGAUAGUGGCGAACGGGUGAGUAACACGUGGGUAACCUGCCCAUAAGAGGGGGAUAACAUCCGGAAACGGGUGCUAAUACCGCAUAGUUUUCUUGAUCGCAUGAUUGAGAAAGGAAAGACGGCCUUUGUGCUGUCGCUUAUGGAUGGACCCGCGGCGUAUUAGUUAGUUGGUGAGGUAACGGCUCACCAAGACGAUGAUACGUAGCCGACCUGAGAGGGUGAUCGGCCACAUUGGGACUGAGACACGGCCCAAACUCCUACGGGAGGCAGCAGUAGGGAAUCUUCCGCAAUGGACGAAAGUCUGACGGAGCAACGCCGCGUGAGUGAAGAAGGUUUUCGGAAUCGUAAAACUCUGUUGUCAGAGAAGAACAAGUUGGAGAGUAACUGCUCCAGCCUUGACGGUAUCUGACCAGAAAGCCACGGCUAACUACGUGCCAGCAGCUGC